rnacentral:rRNA from 1 species
AUGGCUGCUUGUGCAGAGAGCCCCUCUACACCCAAGAAUCCCAUUGUGGAAUUGAUAGACAGCGAUGAUGAUGCGUUUGACAAGAUUGUUGGCAUGGGGAGAGUCACCAGGAGCACUACUACUGCCAAGGGUUUAUCCCCACUUGCUGGAAUAGUGGCCCGUAGAGCUGGUGGUGCUAGGAAGGAUCCUGCUUUGGAUUCUGGCAAUGUUACAAGCACGAAGUGUGCACCCAGAGCUCCUAUAAAGUUUUGCUCCCCUGUGCAGCAGCUUCACCCUCAUAGAUUCCCUCACCUGGACAAGGCUCGCAAGUUGUAUAAUCUGUUGCUUAGCAAUGAAGCAUGUGAGAAGUAUGCCGACAAUACAUUCUCAAUGAUACCUCAGCCUGAUGAUAGCGUAACCAGCUUCACUGGGAAACGCAUCUGGGAAGUUUUUGCACCUAGGAAAAUAAUGGAGGGUGAUGUAAUGGACUUCCUUAUUGAUGAUUGGAAGAAAGUGCCCGAUAGAAAUGUUGAUUUUGCGUCUGGGAAAAGGGUAUUGCUGAGUCCAUAUUUCAUCACGGUUGUGCUUGACUGUACGUUUUACGGCGAUGAAAAUAAAGAGUUUAAUGUGAAGAGUGCAGCCAGAGAUUUCAAGAGCUAUGUUAAAGAUAAUGAAGACUUGCUCAGUGCCGACCUUAUCAUGAUGCCUCUGUUCAAGCCUAUGGUUUUACCAAAGGAUAAGAAACUGAACCACUUUUCCUUAUAUGUCAUGAAUCGGUACCGAAGUAGCAUCGACAUCCUUGACUCUUUACCUUAUCCGAAUAAUCAUCGUCCUUCAAAGAACACCUAUCAUAAAGACUGCGAGAAGAUUCCUCGUAUUGUUGAUUGGAAGGCCGAGGAUCUGUAUAGAGUUGUGUUCAACCGGAAUAACCAGCUUCUGGUGACAGAGCUUCCCAUGGAGUUUCAGCCUUUGGCUCCUGGUGCAUAG